ACAAAACUCAAAGUAUUCAUCAAAACAAACAAAAGCACUUCAAUAUAUGCACAAAACAAAACCAUUUUCUGACUGAGUAAUACUGGAAACUGCAGGCUAUCCUUCUUCCCUUAAAUGAAUUCAUAUUUCUCCAAAAAUCUCACUCCUGAGAUUUGUGACAUAUUUGAAUUGAAAACUCAUAAGUUUCUGUCAUCUUUCACAGUAUUUUUGUUGUAUUUCUGCCAGAUUUUGCUAAGUGGUCGUCUUUACUUCCUACCCCAAACCUAAGCAGCACAGUGUGACUGUGAGCUUUAAAGCAGUUGCAGACUGGAUAGCCAUUUAUAUUCUAUUUAUUGCUCUGUGAAGAUUUAUGAUUUUUCCUCACAAUUUCCCUCCAAAGCCGAACGACCAUUCUGGAGACAAAGGGAGAAACUGAUUUGCCCAGGCUCUCCUGAAUCACCUGAUUUAAAAUCCAGCUCUUCCACGGAGAAACGCUCCUCCUUUUGUCUCAUCUUGCAAAUCAGAAAUGCUUUGGAAGAUUCUCCCAAGCAGGAAACUUCAGGAGUUUUUUUCUGCCUUAUGAAUAUUUCCCAACAAAAAACUCAAGACAAUGGAGUUUCUGGCAAAGAAACUCAGGAACUGAUUCUGCAUAUGUCACCGCAGUGGCAUGCAGACACACAGGGAAGGAGGCAGUCCCAUGCCCGGGCUUGCAGCAGGCAUGUGCCCCCACGGCACCCAGCCCUGAGCACUCCUCACCUCUCCCCUCCUCUCCCUCUUCACCAAAGGUAGCAACCUCCAUGUGAACCCUGCCGCUGCGGCUGCCCUGCCUCCUGAACCCAUCCAGAAGGGCUUUUCAGCGGAUAAAGUACAACAGUGAAAAACCUUGUCUCACAAUGAAGCAAUUGGCUAAAUUAUUGGACAGCAACAUACAGAACAUCACGGCCAGAUCAGAAGAGGGAAUGAGAAGAAGGUCCCCCAGGGCAGCAUUUUGUCCACAAGACCAGGCAGCCUCUUCUAAAUCAACAGCAGACGUCCUACGGUUUGGUAACUACC